rnacentral:rRNA from 1 species
AGAAUCAACGCUGGCGGCGCGCCUAACACAUGCAAGUCGAACGAGAAAGCCGCAAGGCAAGUAAAGUGGCGUACGGGUGAGUAACACGUGGAUUAUCUGCCCUCUAGUGGGGAAUACCGUUGGGAAACCGACGACAAUACCGCAUAAGCUCGAGAGAGGAAAGCAGCAAUGCGCUGGAGGAGGAGUCCGCGGUCGAUUAGUUAGUUGGCGGGGUAAAAGCCCACCAAGACUGUGAUCGAUA